AUCGGUGCUUAUGGGGGCUGUGAGUGCUGCUCAAGGACCCGUGCUGCACAGCUGAUGUCCUGCAGCAGGGCCGGUCUCCGGCCUCAGAGCUGACAGCAGCCACAGCACAGCUGGCAUUGCUCCAAGUCCAAAGCCAGAGGAAACCUCGCCAUCACGGAAUCAUCGGGUUUGGAAAAGAGCGGUAAGACCACCAAGUCCAACCCCUCGCACCCCACCGUGCCCCCCAACCACGUCCCCCAGUGCCACAUCCCCAUGGUUCCUCAACACCUCCAGGGCUGGUGACCCCAGCACUCCCUGGGCAGCUGUGCCACUGCAGCACCACUUCUUUUGGAGAAGACAUUUUCCCUAAUACGUAACAUCAGAAAUCC
rnacentral:lncRNA from 1 species